ACUCCAGACAAAAGUACCAGGGGCAGUACCUUGGCUCCCCUCAUGGGAUGUUUUCUCACUUUCCCUCUCUCUCUGGCAAGUGCAUGUGCCCUAUGGCAAAACUUAAAGAAAUAAAAAGCAUUCACCCCUAAGACUAUCUUCCCUACCAUGUCUGCAUGUCUCAUCCCUGGCAUGCAUCGGCCUAUGGUCCAUCUGUCCCCAGGAAAGCUCCACACAAGGGCCUUGGUUUUUUUUUCCUGCUGCAUCUCAGAACCUGAACCAGUGCCUGGGACCGGCAUUCAGCAAACACCUGCAGGCUGGAGGAACGCAUGAAUGCCCAUGCUGAUGGGUGGCAAGAGGUGGGCUGGACACAAGCUGGGGCCGGACAGCAGGACUGAGGUGCUGCCCAGGGCGGGCAGUGAGAGAAGCCACCACCCUCUUCCCAAACUCUCAGGCCAAAGUGCCAUCCCAUCCCUCGGUCUGCCCACAGCUGAGAGGGGUGUCUGCUGCCAAGGCCGCUCAUACCAGCCCAUCUGCUGGAGGACACCGAGGCUCUGAGAGCAGAGGUGACAUACUGCGCAGUAGGCAAACCUCUGCUACCGCACUGCCACCAUCACCGUCAUUGCCUGGAAAUCACCUUCCCCGAGUGUCUCCUGAAUAAUUAGGGCAGCCUGGGGGACUACCUCCUGCAGACCAAUCUCACGGAUGCCUUGGCCAUGUGACCAGAAGAUUCGAGACAGCCCCCAACUCCUGCAACAUCAGCAUCCCACCAGCCCUGUGACAGUGCUCUCCGCACUCUGCCUGCGUCCUGAGGGACCCCCACAUCCUGGAGGGCACACACACCUCGUUCCUCUAGCCCUGGGCCCUGUCAGCCCAUCUUCCUUCGUACAUAUUUGGUCCUAAUCAUUGUAUGUCUAGGACAGAAAGGAAACCCUGAGUUCUAUGUGACCAAGAUAGGAAGAUGGAGCAUCCGAAACUUG